rnacentral:rRNA from 1 species
AACGAACGCUGGCGGCAUGCCUAACACAUGCAAGUCGAACGAGAUCUUCGGGUCUAGUGGCGCACGGGUGCGUAACGCGUGGGAAUCUGCCCUUUGGUUCGGAAUAACAGUUGGAAACGACUGCUAAUACCGGAUGAUGACGAAAGUCCAAAGAUUUAUCGCCAGAGGAUGAGCCCGCGUAGGAUUAGCUAGUUGGUGUGGUAAAGGCGCACCAAGGCGACGAUCCUUAGCUGGUCUGAGAGGAUGAUCCGCCACACUGGGACUGAGACACGGCCCAGACUCCUACGGGAGGCAGCAGUGGGGAAUAUUGGACAAUGGGCGAAAGCCUGAUCCAGCAAUGCCGCGUGAGUGAUGAAGGCCUUAGGGUUGUAAGGCUCUUUUACCCGGGAUGAUAAUGACAGUACCGGGAGAAUAAGCUCCGGCUAACUCCGUGCCAGCAGCCGCAGUAA